rnacentral:rRNA from 1 species
CCUACGGGGGGCUGCAGUGGGGAAUAUUGCACAAUGGGCGCAAGCCUGAUGCAGCCAUGCCGCGUGUGUGAAGAAGGCCUUCGGGUUGUAAAGCACUUUCAGCGGGGAGGAAGGCGGUGAGGUUAAUAACCUCAUCGAUUGACGUUACCCGCAGAAGAAGCACCGGCUAACUCCGUGCCAGCAGCCGCGGUAAUACGGAGGGUGCAAGCGUUAAUCGGAAUUACUGGGCGUAAAGCGCACGCAGGCGGUCUGUCAAGUCGGAUGUGAAAUCCCCGGGCUCAACCUGGGAACUGCAUUCGAAACUGGCAGGCUAGAGUCUUGUAGAGGGGGGUAGAAUUCCAGGUGUAGCGGUGAAAUGCGUAGAGAUCUGGAGGAAUACCGGUGGCGAAGGCGGCCCCCUGGACAAAGACUGACGCUCAGGUGCGAAAGGGUGGGGAGCAAACAGGAUUAGAUACCCGGGUAGUC